rnacentral:piRNA from 1 species
CGCCUGCCCCUGCUUCCCGAGUGCUGGGA